AGCAGCCGCGGUAAUUCCAGCUCCAAUAGCGUAUAUUAAAGUUGUUGCAGUUAAAAAGCUCGUAGUUGAAUUUCGGGAUCAAUUUAUCGGUCGUGCCAACGGUAUGAACUGGUACAAUUGGUUUCUCCCUUCUGAUGAAGCACGAUGUCAUUAACUUGGUGUCGUGGGGAGUCAGGACUGUUACUUUGAAAAAAUUAGAGUGUUUAAAGCAGGCCUUGGCUUGAAUACAUUAGCAUGGAAUAAUGAAAUAGGACGUUUGAUCCUAUUUCGUUGGUUUCUAGGAUCGACGUAAUGAUUAAUAGGGAUAGUUGGGGGCAUUAGUAUUCAAUUGUCAGAGGUGAAAUUCUUGGAUUUAUUGAAGACUAACUACUGCGAAAGCAUUUGCCAAGGAUGUUUUCAUUAAUCAAGAACGAAAGUUAGGGGAUCGAAGACGAUCAGAUACCGUCGUAGUCUUAACCAUAAACUAUGCCGACUAGGGAUCGGAUGAUGUUAAUUUUUAAUGACUCAUUCGGCGCCUUAC
rnacentral:rRNA from 1 species